AUUGAACGCUGGCGGCAUGCUUUACACAUGCAAGUCGAACGGCAGCGCGGGCUUCGGCCUGGCGGCGAGUGGCGAACGGGUGAGUAAUACAUCGGAACGUGCCCAGUAGUGGGGGAUAGCUCGGCGAAAGCCGGAUUAAUACCGCAUACGACCUGAGGGUGAAAGCGGGGGAUCUUCGGACCUCGCGCUAUUGGAGCGGCCGAUGGCAGAUUAGCUAGUUGGUGGGGUAAAGGCCUACCAAGGCGACGAUCUGUAGCUGGUCUGAGAGGACGACCAGCCACACUGGGACUGAGACACGGCCCAGACUCCUACGGGAGGCAGCAGUGGGGAAUUUUGGACAAUGGGCGAAAGCCUGAUCCAGCAAUGCCGCGUGUGUGAUGAAGGCCUUCGGGUUGUAAAGCACU
rnacentral:rRNA from 1 species